rnacentral:rRNA from 1 species
GACGAACGCUGGCGGCGUGCUUAACACAUGCAAGUCGAGCGGUAAGGCCCUUCGGGGUACCCGAGCGGCGAACGGGUGAGUAACACGUGAGUAAUCUGCCCAUCACUUCGGGAUAACUCCGGGAAACCGGUGCUAAUACCGAAUAUGACCACUUCAGCCAUCUGAUGGUGGUGGAAAGUUCCGGCGGUGAUGGAUGAGCUCGCGGCCUAUCAGCUUGUUGGUGGGGUAGUGGCCUACCAAGGCUUCGACGGGUAGCCGGCCUGAGAGGGUGACCGGCCACACUGGGACUGAGACACGGCCCAGACUCCUACGGGAGGCAGCAGUGGGGAAUAUUGGACAAUGGGCGAAAGCCUGAUCCAGCAACGCCGCGUGAGGGAUGACGGCCUUCGGGUUGUAAACCUCUUUCAGCAGGGACGAAGCGCAAGUGACGGUACCUGCAGAAGAAGCACCGGCCAACUACGUG